GUGGGGGAUAUUGCACAAUGGGGGCAACCCUGAUGCAGCGACGCCGCGUGAGCGAUGGAGUACUUCGGUAUGUAAAGCUCUGUCAGCAGGGAAGACAUUGACGGUACCUGACCAAGAAGCCCCGGCUAAAUACGUGCCAGCAGCCGCGGUAAUACGUAUGGGGCAAGCGUUAUCCGGAUUUACUGGGUGUAAAGGGAGCGUAGGCGGCAGGGCAAGCCUGAUGUGAAAGCCCGGGGCUCAACCCCGGGACUGCAUUGGGAACUGCCCCGCUCGAGUGCCGGAGGGGCAGGCGGAAUUCCUAGUGUAGCGGUGAAAUGCGUAGAUAUUAGGAGGAACACCAGUGGCGAAGGCGGCCUGCUGGACGGUUGACUGACGCUGAGGCUCGAAAGCGUGGGGAGCAAACAGGAUUAGAUACCCUAGUAGUCC
rnacentral:rRNA from 1 species